ACUAACAGAAGUAUUGGGAGCAUAAGCUUUCGUGGGUAAGAACCUCACUUCCUCAGAUGCAAGUAAUGGAAAUCUCCAGAGGCAGGUAUAAAUCAGUAUGGAGAUAACGAGGGCUCCUCUCCAGUUAGCUAAUUCUGUAUCGCAUGAUGUGCUUGAGCAGCCUUUAGUGCAAUGGGGCCUUGUUCUCAGUUGGUGCCUCUAGGUCCUACUUUAAUAAUUAUAUAUCUCACCCUUCCCCAGGGCUCAGUGCAUGUGUGUAGGAGCUAAGAACCCAUUUACCAUUUCAUAGGCAGAAAGCAAGACCACAUCCCCAGUUAAAUAGCCCGUCCCCCCUGGCUCUGGGAAGGCAACCAGGGGCUGUCCUGGGGCUUGCCUCAUCAUCACUGUCUCUCUACAGCCAGCCAUGCAAACACACAGCAAGCCCCAUGUUCAAAGGUGAUACCUUAACAGGGCAGCUCAGGCCUCCAUUGGGAUGCCCUGAACGGCACCAGACAUACUGCAGUGAUGACCGGGGUUUAUAAGUGAGCCCCACAACGUGACUGUCUGAGCCAUAACAAAAUCAGCCCCAAACGGGCUGUCCUAUUUCCUCGCUCCUGCCUGUGCCUCUGCCCAGCCAGGGCCCAGAGCUGCAAAUAUUAGCAGCAACACAUCCAUUUAGCUCGGCCUCCUCUGAACCAGCUGCAGCCUGGCGCUUGGUCUGUUUGAAACAGCGGGUGGCAAAGCAACUCUUCCUGGAGGUAAAUGACUACUGCUAGCUCGGCUGCGGGCUGAGCCCCUUUGUGUACAGUCAGAUCCUUAGGAACCUGGGGGGCUCCUCCCCAGUGUGAACCUUUGCUCUCCACCCCCACCCCUCCUUCUCAUUUUUUUUAAACUCUGCUGUCGUCCUUGAUGGAAAGCGAUAGCUCAGUUUGAUCAGGCAUCCUCACUCUGUCCUGGGCAUGGCUCCCUGUCCUCCGGCGGGGAGAGGAGGGAAAUACUGUGGGGGUUGGGGAACGAGAUCUGGGCUAGUCCUUGUCUCUGCCAUUACAGCCACCUUGCCUGCCUCCCUCACUGCCGCAGCAUCUGCGGCUCAGGCUCUCCCUCCCCUGCAGUCCAAACAGGCAGCCGGUGCCCCUGCCUCCGCCACAUCCACCAUGCUGGAUAUUUUCAUCUUAAUGUUUUUUGCCAUCAUCGGCCUGGUGAUCCUCUCCUACAUCAUCUACCUGCUCUAGGAGCCCCAACAGCAGUGCAGGGGAAGGAUGAAAGACAGCAGCCAGCCAUCCUGCCAAUCAAAGCCUCGUCCAGCUCUCAGGCCUGGGUCAGACAAGUGUCACCUUAUCCUCAGCAGCGGCAGCAGCAAUGCCAGAGCCAUCAGGAGAAAGAGUUAACUCUUUGCAAGCAACCCGCUUCCCGAGCAGCUGGCGAGAGGAAAACCAGCCAUUGGACAGUGCAGAUGUCAAGACUUAUAAACGCCCUUGACAGAAUGUCUGAGCUGUAAUGCAUUUGAAGAGCAAAUACAAAGCAACCUGGCCUCAAGAAUGGACAGAGAGAGAGAGGGAGCGAUAAUGAAACCUCACUAUGGAGAAGUGUGUUGUUUUGUUUGCCAUGCUGGUAUUAAGGAAAUUUAACUGUUCAUUGUUCUGUGGCCACAUAGAUAUCCCCCCUCCUUGGGAAAAGUACCUGCUGUUUUUUAGUUUUAGAAAGUAUAUAUAUAUUUUAAUUAAAAAAAAAAAGCUAAGAAAACAACACAAAAUGAGAGCAAAAUCUGAAUAUCACAAUAGUAUCUUAUUCAGACACGUCACCUUUCAUUUUCACUGAUCACCCACUGCUUAUCACUGGGUAUUGCUAAAAUGCAGCUACUUCUGGGGUGGAGGGUGGCAACUAGCUAGAACACUUCGGGAAUGGGAGCACGAAUUUUGGACAAGGACUAUAAAGGAAAAUCCCUAUGCAGAAGAAAGAUGCAAGGGACCUUUUGGACCAAUUCAUCAAGACAGCUGGUGCUGAGCCUGUGUUUGAAAAAUGCUUUUAAACACAUUUCUGCCACUAAUCUGAGUGCCCAGUUUAUAUGGAGGGGGCAACAACCAGAACACAGAUUAGCCUCAGAAAUGCUAGUUAGCCAGCAACUCGUACUCCAAGCCUGUUCGGGGAGAUGUGAAUGAUCAUAGAAUAUCAGGGUUGGAAGGGACCUCAGGAGGUCAUCUAGUCCAACCCCCUGCUCAAAGCAGGACCAAUCCCCAUGAUACCAUGGGCUCAUCUGUUUUGAGGGUGGGGGGGCCCCCAUAGCUCCAAAUAAAGCCACUGGGGGGGGGGUUCUAAACCCCCUCUCAAUGCAAGUUGUGUGUCCAAACCGCCUACUGCACCCAGCCAGGAGUUAGAUCAAUGGGAGGUCAGAGCUUAAUUUACUACUGCUUGGAGAGGUUUGAGUGAGAGGCUCUGGGGCCUUUUGGGAAUUUUCCCUGUAGGCCAACAUGAUCCUGAAUCAAGCCACUGCCUCUGUGUAUUAUUUCCAGUCUGCAGGACCAGGAGGGGUCUGGAGUGGGGAAUGGGUGGGAAAGAGAAAAGAGGCCAAAACACCAGGGACAAGAUUUUAAAAAGCAGCCACUCUUGGUGCCCAUCUAGGACCAUCUGGACAGUCCAUAUUCGUGGCCAUUUCCACAAAGCUCGGCCCAUUCCCAGUGCUUGAAUUAUAAGAAAAAAUGCCCAUAGGCCCUUUCCUUUUGUUGACUCAGUAGCAGUGAGCAGUGCAGGCAUACCAUAUCCACCUGAGCACUGGCCUGAGCCCUGCAGUCACGUUUAAUUCUUCCUCACCCUCCAGACUGCUAGUCCACACACUGGAUUAUAACAGACACUUUGUGUUUUGGACAAAUGCAAAGAGUUUUCUGGAGUUAAAAAUGGAAUGCAAACCAACAACAUGAAAGACUUAGUCAUCCACUACUGUGUAAUAAGCAUCACAUGUAAGGUUUAUUUCAGAUUGUAUUUUAUAAUGAAAACAACCCUCCUAGAAGGUAAGAUUUUUCUAUGGCUGGUCUCCCCCUGCAGUUAAUUCUUGCUGGGAAGCAAUACACUCCUGGAAAUAGAAGUUUUGUAAUGGAAAAAAGCUUGAUGCAUCCUUAAGUCACGUGACACCAUUAUAAUUAGGAGGAAAUUUACUCUGAAUUGUAGUGUUUGUGGCUUAUAUAAGCACUUUUGGGGUACAAGUGGCAAGAAUUACUUGAUAUCUGUUGAUAGGACUUUCUACAAAAAAAUGUUAACCAUAAUUCCCAUCUUUAUGUAAUCAUUGCCAGCUGAGUACUUGACAUAGUACAAUUUCCUGUCAGUACAAAGUUUCCCGAGGGAGAAGUACAGUGCGUAUAUCUUUGCCUGUGGAUCCAAAUUGAUGUUCUCCAGUGCAUCUGCUUCAGCCCAAACUGCAUUACACAGCAUGCCACUGCCAGGACUCAAUUGUGAGUCACAGUUAGGGCUUUAAAAAGGGUGAGACACCCAAAAUGAGGAACCUAACCCUUUUCUCCUCCCCCACAAAGCAGUUAAAAUGGAAACUCUAAAUGUUAUGGGAAGCAACUCUUGAAUAUAAAUAAAAUGUUCAAUAACCUCAGUUUCAUGAGUCUGUAUAUCUGAUGU